ACUACACCUCGUACCUUUUGCAUCAUGACUUAGCCAGUAAGACUCAAGCAAAGAGAACUUUAGUUUGACCCCCCGAAACUAGAUGAGCUACUCCAAGACAGCCUAUUAAUUAGGGCAAACCCGUCUCUGUGGCAAAAGAGUGGGAAGAGCUUUGAGUAGAGGUGAUAAACCUACCGAAUCUAGUUAUAGCUGGUUACCUGAGAAUUGGACCGAAGUUCAGCCUCCCUUUUUCUCCCCUCCUCCCUUAUCUAUUAACCUUAUAGACUCCGAGAAAUAGAGAGAGUUAGUCAAAGGGGGUACAGCCCCUUUGACAUAAGAUACAACUUUUCCAGGCGGGUAAAGAUCAAAAUUAAAAAAGAUAAAAUGUUCCGGUGGGCCUAAAAGCAGCCAUCCGCACAGAAAGCGUUAAAGCUCAGACAUUUUCACAUUCUAAUUAUUUUGAUAACUCCUUCUUAACCCCCUACCCCUAUCAGGUCCCCCUAUGCCCCCAUAGGAGUGACUAUGCUAAUAUGAGUAAUAAGAGGUAAAUUAAACCUCUCCUCGCACGUGUG
rnacentral:rRNA from 1 species